rnacentral:lncRNA from 1 species
UCUUCCCUUUCUUGCAAACAUCUGCUGCAUCCCUUACAAGUGUCUCAUCAUGAUUUCACCAACCUGAAACCAUCACUGCUUUGAGAUCAUCCUCUGUGAACGUUUGUUCCUCUGUCUCUGACGUCGUUGUUGUCUACCACAAACGAACGCCAUCUGCUUUCUCUGACGCUACCUGUUCAAUGUCAUCUUUGGUUUGUCACACUUACUGUGAUCGUGACUACAAAUCUAUAGAUUCUUCUUCUCCAGAAUUUCCAGCUGAUGUCGAUGCUAACUUGAAGCUCUUGCAGAACUUGAAGAGGGGCAAGGAAGCUGUCGAGGAGAUGAAAGACUGUCGAUCGAUGAAACAGCAUUGGUGUCGGUCAACAGUGAUGCCAAAAUAUGGGCUGAGCAUAUUUUAUGACCGACUGAAGCCCAGAAGCAACCACAAAUUACCAGAAUACCGUUGGACGACCAGAAACCCUAUUUAUGUGUUUUCUAAGCCAUUGUUGACGGCUAAGCUUUAUUUUAUUCAUAGUUGUAAGUUAGGAGAGAAGAGAGGAACUCCUUCAGAGUCCUCUUGGAACUCCAUUGUUUUGGUUUUAUUUAUAUUUUAUGUUAUUCAUCUAUUCAUCUAUGAUUUCUGUGACAAACAUCAUGCAUGAGUAGAUCCACCUGCUAAGUUUAGGAAUUUCUAGGGUUUUGAAUGAAUUUCUGAAUUGUAUGAUCGUUAGGAUAUCUAAAGAUCUCUACAUCAGGAUAGCUUGUAAUAGUAGGAUCUAGAUUAGUUGGAAACCCACGAGAGUGUGACUAAUUGCUUGAACCUAGAAUCAUAGGACAAUUGAGAGGCACGAGAGUGCAAUCAAUUAACAGAACCUGAAUCCUACUGGAUUAGAUACCUAGGCGCAUACGAGAGGUGGUCUAGGAAUCUAGUUGAACAUAAUCGAUCAGAUCGAUAACGCUUACCUAAGGCAGUGUCGAUCGACGCUUAUACCAUAGCAUCGAUCGACAGUCAAUCCGUAGAAUCGAUCGACGCUCAUACCAUAGCAUCAAUCGAUGCUCAAUCUGUGUUAACAUGCGAGAGCUGAAACACUGAACUUAGUCAAUAGAUUAGACUCACAGCGAGAGCUGGUUGUCUUUUGCAUUAGAUAUCGAGUUCUAGAAUCAAUCCUUAGCAUCUAUAGUUUAGAGUUCUAAUAACCUAAAUGAAACCCUAAGUCUAGUAACCAUCCUUCCAUCAAACAAAUCUCUGCCAAGCUGAACAAUUGUCUUGUUCAACUUGUUUACUACUUUAUUACUGAUUUGCAUUAUUUAUUUACUGAUUUAUAAACUAGUAGCCUAGCUUAAUCGUAUAACUAUUAGAUCUAAUUGGUUUCGUAGCUCCCUGUGAAUUUGAUCCCUAAGUACUACAACUCGACCUCUUAUUUGAGAGAGUAUAAAUCACUCCUUAGGGUAAUUUGAGUGAUAUCACCUUUGACCAUAAUCUUCAAGCUAAGUCUAACCUUGAAUCGCCUUUUCCCUUUAGGUUCUUCAUGUCACUCACACGGCCUCACUAAAGCUGCUACAUGCUGUUACCACAAAUAGCCAUUUGCUUUAGCAUAUACUUGUGUAGGAUUUUACACACUUUUCCCUUGCUCUAGUUUCCUCUUCGUGGAGGUACACCAUGUUUCAGUCACACUAACUUGGUGACUCCUCUGACUUUCUUCUACCAGCCAGAAACCAUUCCUCUCAUGCACCCACGAGCCUGACUUGAACUGACCCAAAACAAAUCACCUUUGUUUCGUCAUAUUGUUGUCACACGAAAACCAACAUGUGCAGCUGCAAGAUCUGUUGGUCAUCUUUCGCUAAGAUAACUUGCAUUCCUUGUGAUCUCUGGAAAAAAAACCUUUAGUCCCUGUGAGAUUGACGACCUUGGAUUCCAUCUCCUUAAGUCUAGCUUUGACUUAAUGUGAGUCUGUCUUCCCUUGAGAUAUCCUCCAUCUCAGACGACUCAAAACAAUCUCCAACACUGAUCACUAACACGCCCACCUGUGCAACUGUUUUUGCUGCUGCUUACGCGGGUCUUCCCUUUCUUGCAAACAUCUGCUGCAUCCCUUACAAGUGUCUCAUCAUGAUUUCACCAACUUGAAACCAUCACGUGCUUUGAGAUCAUCCUCUGUGAACGUUUCUUCCUCUGUGUCUGAUGCCGUUGUUGUCUACCACAAACGAAUGCCAUCUGCUUUCUCUGACACUACCUGUUCAACGUCAUCUUUGGUUUGUCACACUUACUGUGAUCGUGACUACAAAUCUACUUAUUCUUCUUCUCCAGAAUUUCCAGCUGAUGUCGAUGCUAACUUGAAGUUCAUGCAGAACCUGAAUGACCACUGCCUCAAACCAGAAGCUCUUUGACUCAAUCCUUAUCCAACCUCAAUAGCCCGUAGACACCAAACUCCUCAUCCUAAGAAUUUCCUUUGUAACAAUCUGAAUGAACACCUUGCCUUGAACAUCACUCUGAACCGC